UACGGAGGGUACAAGCGUUGCCCGGAAUUACUGGGCGUAAAGCGCGUGUAGGCGGUCUCGUGUGUCUGGCGUGAAAGCCCCGGGCUCACCCCGGGAAGUGCGUUGGAAACUGCGAGACUAGAGUUCCGGAGAGGAAGGUGGAAUUCCAGGUGUAGCGGUGAAAUGCGUAGAUAUCUGGAAGAACACCGGUGGCGAAGGCGGCCUUCUGGACGGUGACUGACGCUGAGACGCGAAAGCGUGGGGAGCAAACAGG
rnacentral:rRNA from 1 species